UUCGAGGACAGUGUGCGAGGUGCUGCAUGGUUGUCGUCAGCUCGUGCCGUGAGGUGUCGGCUUAAGUGCCAUAACGAGCGCAACCCCUAUCGCCAGUUGCUAACAGGUAAAGCUGAGGACUCUGGCGAGACUGCCAGCGCAAGCUGUGAGGAAGGCGGGGAUGACGUCAAAUCAGCACGGCCCUUACGUCCGGGGCGACACACGUGUUACAAUGGCAGGUACAACGGGAAACCACGCGGCGACGCAGAGCAGAUCCCGAAACCCCGUCUCAGUUCGGAUUGGAGUCUGCAACCCGACUCCAAGAAGCUGGAUUCGCUAGUAAUCGCGCAUCAGCCACGGCGCGGUGAAUACGUUACCGGGCCUUGUACACACCCACCGUCAAGCCAUGGAAGCCGGGAGUGCCUGAAGUACGCGACCGCAAGAAGCGUCCUAAGGUAAAACCGGUGACUGGGGCUAAGUCGUAACAAGG
rnacentral:rRNA from 1 species